rnacentral:rRNA from 1 species
GGGGAGGCAGCGGCCGAGGGCAGGGGCCGCGACUGGGACGAAGUCGUAACAAGGUAGCCGUACCGGAAGGUGCGGCUGGAUCACCUCCUUUCUAGGGAGCA